rnacentral:rRNA from 1 species
CUGGAGGAUGUAUGGCAAUAGCUAGUUGCACUAAAAGUUUUAGUGUAAAAUCGACUAUGUUGAAUAAAAUUCUGGGUAGAAUUAUGAUAAUGACAUUAUCUGCUCAUAAGUCUUGACCAAAUUACGUGCCAGCAGUCGCGGUAAUACGUAGAAGACAAGUGUUAUUCAUCUUUAAUAGGUUUAAAGGGUACUUAGACGGUAAAUCAAGCCUCUAAAAGGGACUAAUUUGCUAGAGUUUUAUGUGAAAGAGUAUUAAAGUACUGCUGGUGUAGAGAUGAAAUUCUGUAAUACCUUGAAUGGCACAGGUUAAGGCGAAAGCAUCUUUUUAUGUAAAAACUGACGUUGAAGGACGAAGGCUUUGUGUCUCGAACAGGAUUAGAUACCCUAGUAGUCUAAGCAGACAAUGAUGAAUGUCAUAGAUUAGAUAUAAUUUGAUCUAUAAAUGAAAGUGUAAGCAUUCCACCUCAAGAGUAAUUUGGCAACAUUGGAACUGAAAUCAUUAGACCGUUUCUGAAACCAGUAGUGAAGUAUGUUGUUUAAUUUGAUGAUCCGCAAAAAACCUUACCACAAUUUGAAUAGAUAUAUAUUAUCAUACAAGCGUUGCACGGCUGUCUUCAGUUAAUGUCGUGAGACUUUGGUUAGUUCCAUAAAAUUAACGUAAACCCUUACUUUAUUUUUAGAUAAAGUAGUUCACCGCUAUAUUGGAUGUGAUAAUAGGGAUCAAGACAAGUCAUCAUGACC